UUAAAAAAUAAGAUUAGAGCCAAAGUGGUGUUAUACUUAUUCUUGUUAUAAGCGGCCUAACUUGUAAAAUAACACAAGACUCUUUAUAUACAAGUAUAUUAAAUGGAGUCUUCCACCAAAUAAUUUAUUUAGGGUUUUUACCCAAAUUACUAGUUAUCUUACUUGUCGAUCUAGUAGUAGUGUAGUCAAUUAAAUGAGCUAACCCGAAGAUCAUAUGUGUAUAUACAAUAGUGGCUACAAUAAUUAAGCAUGUAAUUAAACUAGCCCGAUUAUUUAAUUUCAAAUCUAUCAUACUAAAAGAUUGGAACUGAUCCACAAUUGCAUACUGUUUAGGAUAGUAUUCCCAAAUCAUAAUUCGACCAUGCCACAUUAAUUUUUUUACUGAACAAUACUUUGUACUAUAUCGUUAAUUAAAUUGAUAUGUCAACUGUCAAAUCAAGUUAAUUGCAUCUUUUUCCUUGCCACUUAUUGGUUUUCUCUAGUGAUCAAUUUUAACAUACUAACUAUAUUGACACAUUCUAGCCAGAGAAUUUUAUAAUCAAGUACUAAAAACUCAUUAAGAGAUGUGUUGUACAAAUUCGAUAUUAAUAAUCUAUAAUCUCACUGUUUAUAAUUGCUUCUAUCAAGAUACUGUGUAAUCUUAGACUACAAAUAUAUAUCGCGCCUAUUAAUAAUUCAAAUGAAAUGACAAUCACAAAUAUGGAAUUAUAAUUAACUCAAAUUGAGAUUGCAAUAAAGUCAAUGCAUAUGAGAUUUAAUAAGUCUGAUAGUCAUUUUAAGGUUAAUUAAAUCUUAUAUGUAAUCUAGUUCAAUAUAGACAAACUAUAUCACUAAAUUUAUAUAUGAUUAAGACAAAUCAUUCAAUAAAUAUCCUAUAAUCUAAACAAAAAUAAAGCAUCCAACUCUACUUAUCAACUGCGAAUUUAAUUUAUUUAAUUAUAAGAUGACUUGUAUUUACGUUUUCUGUGAAUCCAUAUGAUAAUCACAUAAAUACAUAUAUUAUGAUUAAACGGAUCCUAUUCAAAAUAUUAAUGCAAUUAAGAUGUUUGAAAAAUAUCUCAAAUAUUUUAUUAAUUAUAAUAUAUAUUUAUCAUAAAUAUAUAAAUUAAUAUGUUUUAAAGUGCACAUAAUUCCAACAAUAGUACCCCCCAAAUUCCAAUUACAAGCAUAUCAAAAAAGCCAAAAUUACAGGUUUUAUAGUUGAACCAAAGUUUCAAAACUUGAUCUUUCUUAUCGUUUUGUUCACAGCAAAAAACCAAGUCCCUUUCAAACUCAAAUGACAUCAUAUAAAAAUGGAAAAAAAAGCCACUAAUUUAGGGAAAUGCAUGUGAUCUGUCACAAAAUUCAAAGUUGAAUAAUUUUAGAAUAACUAUAAAUUCCGGAAAUUCCAAGAACAGUGUGUUUUUCUUGCCAUCGAACUGCUCAGUGGAGCUACCACGUAUCUUUUCCUCACCUGGCAACUAUUCCUCUUAUCCGUCUCAAGAAGUUUAAAAGAAAAAUGAUGUUGAUAGUUUCCGGCAAAUGGUGAAGCGUUUUGAUCUGGUACCAGUUCUUAUGAAAGAAUUUAAUGUUUUCUUAUAGCGUUCGCCUUGUCGAAGAAAUAGUAUUUCCACAUCUGGGAACAAACCUUGAAAACUACCGAAUAGCUUGCCCCUGCUUGAUAGUUUAAUAAUGAAGCACUGCAGAAAAGAAAGGCAACUCAUGCAUUAUGUAAUCAGUAAUUGAUUUGUCUCGGACCAAGCCUUAAGUGCCAUAUUUUCUUGGCAAUAUGAAGAGUUGAUAAAACUCCGCAGCGGGACCCAUGGAAAACCUGAAGCUUUUGUAUGUUAUUCUAUAUGUAAUGGCCAGAUUAUUCACUGAGGAUGCAUUUAGCACAUUCUAUUAUAUCAUGUUGUAUUAUAUUAUUUUAAUAUAAG
rnacentral:lncRNA from 1 species